rnacentral:lncRNA from 1 species
GUGUCCUUAUCACAGGCUGCACUCCCAGCACAGCAGCCUGCGCGGAAACGCUCCUCUCCGCCGCCUUCCUGCCUGGAAGCCCGGAGGCGGAGGCGGAGGCGCUGGAGGCCCCCACCCAGCGGGACGGGAGGCUGAGGGGAGCAAGGGGAGCGAGCGGAGCCAGGUGGGGGCAGAUGUGCAGGAUGGGUCAGGGGCAGCGGGGUGGGAGGCCCAGCCUCCGGGGUCUGGAGGGUUAGCUGAGUACUUCACGCUGCACUGAUCUGUGGGGCCGCCGUGAUGUGGGUGCUAACGCUCUCCCCACCUGUUGGAUGGGGAAACUGAGGCCCAGGGCAACAGUGACCUCUCGAGGUCAGGCCCCAGCUAGGUGAGGCACAAACUCAGUCCAGAGGCGGCCCCGGGGGCUCUGCCGUCCACCCAGGCUCUGGCUGACAAGGGGCCCUCCUGCUGUGCUGGCUCCCGAAGGGGAUGGCCCGGACUGGGCCCAGCUGCCCUCUGGUGGAUAUGGGGCCACCCCAGUCAGGGUGGGGCUGACAGGGUCCAUGCUCCCUCCCGCCCUCGGACGUGCAGACUUGAAGAACGCUGGCGGGCGGGCUUGGGGGCCUAGCACCGGCCAGGUCACCAGUGCUACCUUCCUCUGAGUGAAUCUGCCGGAGGACUGAGCUGGGGUCCGGGAACGGCUUCCCAGCAGGCCCUGCAGCCUAUUCUGCCCCAGGCGGGGCAUUCCCGUGAUGACUGAAAGAAGAAGUGGCAGCGUCACAGCUGAAGGGAGGCUGUCAGAGUGACCAGAGUGGCCAGUCCAGAGGAGACGGGUGGGGCAAAGUCUCCAGGAGGCCAGGAGAUGCCUUCAAGAAAAGAAAUGGAAAGGAGUGAUGACCUGAUGCGUGUGAGAACACGGGGACGAGCCUUGCGGCUCCGUGGGAGAGCUUGGGUGAGGACCACCCGUGCCGCGGCGACCUCUGAUCGUCACCCAAGCUGUGCCCUCCCAUUUCACGAAAAUUAUCACCUGCUGAGCCCCCUUGCUGCUGCUCUCUGGGCGUGCACUGUGAGUGCACUGUGGAGUUUACGGACACCGGCCCCCGCGACGGUGGAGUUUACGGGGACCGGCCCCCGCGAUGGUGGAGUUUACAGACACUGGCUCCCGCGACGGUGGAGUUUACGGGGACCGGCCCCCGCGACGGCAGAGUUUAUGGGGACCGGCUCCCCCGACGGUGGGGGCCCACGAGUCCCAGCAUCUGCAGCAGAGUCGCCGGAUUGCAUGAGGUCAGCGAGUGUGUCCACUGCAGACCCUGCGGAGCCACCAUCCAAAACCACAUUGAGAAUAUUUCCAUUACUCUAGGAAAAGCUUCUCCGUCCAGCUGAGGCGGGAUGUCAUAGACUUACCCUCCUACCCGAAACAGCCAAAAAGCAAAACAAAACCAGACAAAACGCAGACACAUGGCUUCCAAGACACGGGACACCAGGCAUUAGAGGACAGUAACCCUGAGUGAUGGGAACAGCCGUGCCCUAGUCACCCGUGCUCACUGCCCUGGGAGGCAGUCCAGGCUGUGGGUGGGAAGGCGGAACCCACGCAGGUCCCAGUGGACCCCCGAGGCUGGACAGACCGAGGCGGCUCGAGUUCAUGGACACAGUACCAGAGUGGAGAGGGUCGCACAGAGAGGGACCCUGAAGACCUGGAUGGGACCCCUGGAGUAUUUGGAAGAGCAUGGCCCUGCGGAUCCCCAUAAGGAAACUCCCCAGGGUGGGUAAAAAGGCACCCGGAAGGAUGAGAGGGAACAGGGCCCGACUCCUGCAGGGCUGAGGACAGUGUCUCUCCCCAUCAGCCAAGCAGGAAAUCUCGUAACUCACGGGGCCUUGGGUGAAGCCCUUGGGAAGGGCUUGCCUCGGCGGGGGACGAUCAGCCUGAGCCCGAGCUGUGCUCUGAGCCCUCCUACCAAGCCAUAAAAGCAAGACUAGAAAGGAUCAAACUGCCUCCAGAUCACUUAACCGCACGUCCAGGACAAAGCUGAAGAUUUCCAGGAAGACAAAAAUCCCCGGCACCCAGCCAGGUGAAAUUCACAAGGACUGGCGUCCAAAGGAAGAGGACCUGCCAGGCAAUGGGAAAAGCAGGAGAACGGGACCCAUGAUGAGAAAAAUGAUGUAAUCAAAACCAUCCCAGGGCUGGGUGCGGUGGCUAACGCCUGUCAUCCUAGCACUUUGGGAAGCCGAGGUGGAGGAUCACUUGAGGCCAAGAGUUCAAGACCAGAUGGGGCAACAUAGUAAGACCCUGUCUCUAUGACAAAAAAAAAAAAAGGUAAAACCAUCCCAAAGUUGACACAGAUGUGAGAAUGAGCAGAGGUGGGCAUUGAAGCAGUCGUUUUUGCUGUAUUCCCUCUGUUCAGAAGUUAAGUAGAACCACAGCUCGAUGUCCCCUCAGGCUCAUUAGGAUGGUUACUAUUCAAAAAAAGAAAGUGGCCAGGUGCGGUGGCUCACGCCUGUAAUCCCAGCACUUUGGGAGGCCAAGGCGGGUGGAUCACAAGGUCAGGAGUUCGAGACCAGCCUGACCAAUAUGAUGAAACCCCAUCUCUACUAAAAAUACAAAAAUUAGCUGGGUGUGGUGGCAGGCGCCUGUAAUCCCAGCUACUCAGGAGGCUGAGACAGGAGAAUUGCCUAAACCCGGGAGGUGGAGGUUGCAGUGAACCGAGAUCGCGCCAUUGCACUCCAGCCUGGGCAACAAGAGCGAAACUCCAUCUCAAAAAAAAAAAGUAACAAGUGUUGUUCAGGGUGUGGAGAGAUGGGAGCCCUUGUGUGAUGUUGUGGAAUGUAAAACGAUGUAGCCACUGUGGGAAGCAAUAUAGCAGUUCCUCAAACAAUAAAUAAAUGGCCCAGGCGGGUGGCUCACACCUGCAAUCCCAGCACUUUGGGAGGCUGAGGCGGGCGGAUCACCUGAGGUCAGGAGUUCAAGACCAGCCUGGCCAACGUGGUGAAACCCCGUCUCUACUAAAAAUACAAAAAAUUAGCUGGGAGUGAUGGUGGCCACCUGUAAUCCUAGCUAUUCGAGAGUCUGAGGCAGAGAAUUGCUUGAACCCAGACAUGGAGGUUGCAGUGAGCCAAGAUCAUGCCACUGCACUCCAGCCUGGGUGACAGAGCGAGACUCCGCCUCAAAAAAAAAAAAAAAUAUAUAUAUAUAUAUAAAAUAAAUAAAUAAAUAAGCCCAGUGUGGUGGCUCACACCUGUAAUCCUAGUGCUUUGGGAGGCUGAGGUGGGCAGAUCACCUGAGGUCAGGAGUUCAAGACCAGUCUGGCCAACAUGGUGAAACCCCAUCUCUACUAAAAAUACAAAAAAUUAGCUGGGCGUGGUGGCGGGUGCCUGUAAUCCCAGCUACUCGGGAGGCUGAGGCAGAAGAAUCGCUUGAACCCAGAAGGCAGAGGUUGCAGUGAGCCAAGAUUGCGCCACUGCAUUCCGGCCUGGGAGAGAGAACGAGACUCUGUCUCAAAUAAAUAAAUAAAUAAAUGGGCCCAGCACGAUGGCUCACACCUGUAAUCCCAGUGCUUUGGGAGGCUGAGGCGGGCAGAUCACCUGAGGUCAGGAGUUCGAGACCAGCCUGGCCAACAUGGUGAAACCCCGUCUCUACUAAAGAUACAAAAAAAUUAGCCAGGUGUGGUGGCAGGCCCCUGUAAUCCCAGCUAUUUGGGAGGCUGAGGCAGGAGAAUUGCUUGAACCCGGGAGGUGGAGGUUGCAGUGAGCCGAGAUCAUGCCAUUGCACUCCAGCCUGGGCGACAGGGCGAGAUUUCAUCUCAAUAAAUGAAUGAAUGAAUCAAUCAAUAAAAAUUUAAAAAAUAAAACAGAUGGAAAAUUCUGUCCUGAGCACUUGGGGAAGGCAGGGCCAGGCCUUGCACUGCCGCACUCCCGGCUGGUGUUUUGACACCUGUGCUUUCAGCUCCCAGGAGCAGAGCUGGGCUUCACUCAUCUUCCCCCUCCUCUGGCUUCCCCCCAUGUGACUGCAGCCUACGUUUUAAAGAUUUUUACAUCAACUUUUAAUUUCAGAAUAGAUUUAGACUUACAUAAAGGUUUCUCUUCUUUUUUUUUUUCCUGAGAUGGAGUCUUGCUCUGUUGCCCAGGCUGGAGUACAAUGGCGCGAUCUCAGCUCACUGCAACCUCCAUCUCCUGGGUUCAAGUGAUUCUCCUGCCUCAGCCUCCCGAGUAGCUGGGAUUACAAGCAUGUGCCACUGUGCCCGGCCUCCAGUUUUUGUACUUUUAGUAGAGACGGGGUUUCACCAUGUUGGUCAGGCUAGUCUCAAACUCCUGACGUCAUGAUCCACCUGCCUCAGCCUCCCAAAGUGCUGGGAUUACAGGCAUGAGCCACCGUGCCCGGCUAAGACUUACAUAAAGGUUUCAAAAUGAACCCGAGAGUCCUGUUAAGUUUUCACCGAGGAGGCCUGGGGCAUGAGUCCAUACAGCAAACUGCAGCCUGGCAUGGCCUGAAGGCCACAGAAGGCUGGCCUCUUGUCACAGGGACUGGGUCCAGGUCACCGCAGCUGCCAGCUGUCAGUUGCCAGUGGCCGCUGAUUUCAAGGCAAAGUGCCCAGCGGCCACCACCAAAACUGCCUCUGCGCAUCACUUCCGUUUCCAUGAACGUUGUGCAGCUCCAGGUCUGAAUUUGUCCUGGUUCUAAGCCAAUUUCAGAAUUGUGAAUGAAAGCCAAUUAAGAUUUUUAAGUUGAAUUUGUUGCAAUGUUGUCUCGUGACAGUUCCAUACAGCCUGCACACAGUUUCUCUGAUUAUUUAACGUCUUACAUUCGUGAGAUGUGUUUGCUACCAUUGAUGAACUGGUAUGUACCGGCAACUCUCUGUAAUUUUUCUUUUUUUUUUUUUUUUUGAGAUGGAGUCUUGCUCUUUUGCCAGGCUGGGUUCAACCUGGGAACCUCCUGGGUUCAAGCGAUUCUCCUGCUUCAGCCUCCCUAGUAGCUGGGACUACAAGCACGCACCACCACACCCGGCUAAUUUUUGUAUUUUUAGAGAUGGGUUUCACCAUGUUGGCCAGGAUGGUCUCGAUCUCUUGACCUCAUGAUCCGCCUGCUUCGGCCUCCCACUGCGCCCGGCUGCAUCUCACUGUAAUUUUAAUUUGCAUUUCUCUGGUUCUACAGAUGUUGAGCACUUUUCUGUGUUUUUUUAUUUUUAUUUUUUAUUUAUUUAGUUUUGAGUUGGAGUCUCACUCGGUCACCCAGGCUGGAGUGCAGUGGCAAGAUCUUGGCUCACUGCAACUUCUGCCUCCCUGGUUCAAGUGAUUCUCCUGCCUCAGUCUCCCAAGUAGCUGGGAUUACAGGUAUGCACCACCACAUCCAGCUAAUUUUUGUAUUUUCAGUAGAGACAGGGUUUUACCAUGUUGGCCAGGCUGGUCUUGAACUCCUGACCUCAGGUGAUCAGCCUGCCUCAGCCUCCCAAAGUGCUGGGAUUACAGGUGUGAGCCACCGCACCUGACCCCCACCUUUCUAUGUUUAUUGGCCAUUUGUGUAAUAUCUUUUUUUUUUUUUUUGAGGCAGGGUUUCACUCUAUUGCCGAGGCUGAAGUGCAGUGGCAUGAUUUUGGCUUACUGCAACCUCCGUCUCCUGGGUUCAAGCGAUUCUCCUGCCUCAGCCUCCCAAGUAGCUGGGAUUAGAGGGCCCACUACCACACCAAGCUAAUUUUUGUAUUUUUAGUAGAGACGAGGUUUCACCAUGUUGGCCAGGCUGGUCUUGAACUCCUGAGCCCAGCUGAUCCACCCACUUCGGCCUCCGAAGCUCCUGGGAUCACAGUUGUGAGCCACUGCACCCAGCCAUGAAUGCAAAUCUUUUGUCAGAGAUAUCUACAAUGAAUAUUUUUCCCAGUCUCUGGAUUGCCUAUUCAUUUUCUUCAUGGUAUCUUUUGAUCAGCAAAAAAAAAUUGAUUUUGAUAAAAAUCUACUUUGCUAUCAAUUUCUUUUCUUGUAUGUCUGGUGUUUCUGUGACCUGAAAGAAGUCUUUGCCUACCCCAAAUUGUGACGAUUGUCCCUCGUCUUCUUCCAGAAGGUCUUGGAUUUUAUGUUUAAGUCUAUGUGACUCAUCUUGAUUUCAUUUUUGUGCAGAGUGAAAUAAAGUUAAGGUUCAAUUUUUUUCUUUCUUUCUUUCUUUUUUUUUUUUGAGACAGCCUGUUGCCCAGGCUGGAAUGCAGUGGCACAAUCUCGGCUCACUGCAGCCUUCACCUCCCAGGUUCAUGUGAUCCUCCCACCUCAGCCUUCCGCUCCCAAGUAACAGGGAUUACAGGCAUGUGCCGCCAUGCCUGGCUAAUUUUUGUAUUUUUAGUAGAGACAGGAUUUCGCCAUGUUGCCCAGGCUGGUCUCAACCUCUCAGACUCAAGAAAUCCUCCUGUCUCAGCCUCCUGAGUAGCUGGGACUAUAGGUGCGUGCCACCAUGCCCAGCUAAUUUUCAAAAAUUUUUUUAUAGAGACAGGGUCUUGCUGUGUUGCCCAGGCUGGUCUCCAACUCCUGGGCUCCCAAAGUGCUGGGAUUACGUGAGCCACGACACCCGGCCUUAAAAGGAUUUUCUACAUGUCGGAUCAUGUAUGUCUUCCUUUCCUUUUCCUGCCCUAUUGCCCCGGGACUUCCUGCACGGCGCAGAGGGAGGUGGCGAGAGAAGCCCCCGGCCCUGCUCCCCACCUCGGCCGGGGCCUUCUGUGUUUCACCAUCAGCCAUGGCUUCAGCGAUGGGUUUGGAUAGAUGGUCUUGUCGGUGUAGUUGGCUCCCUUCCAUUGCUGGUUUGCUGAGAGUUUGCACCACGAACGAUGACGCAUUUUGUCAUGAUUUUGCCUGAGGGGAUUACAUGGAUUUUUUUCUUAUUCUGUUAACAUGAAUGUGAAAGUUGUCAGAAUAAAUAUAAGGUCACUGGUGUUAAAACAACAACAGGCUGGGCACGGUGGCUCAUGCCUGUAAUCCCAGCACUUUGGGAGGCUGAGGCAGGAGGAUCACCGGAGGUCAGGAGUUCCAGACCAGCCUGACCGACACGGUGAAACCCCGUCUCUACUAAAAAUACAAAAAUUAGCCUGGUGUGGUGGCAUGUGCCUGUAAUUCCAGCUACUCGGGAGGCUGAGGCAGGAGAACCGCUUGAACCCGGGAGGCAGAGGCUGCAGUGAGCCGAGAUCGCACCACUGCACUCCAGACUGGGCAACGAGAGCAAAACGGCAUCUCAAUAACCAAUAAAACACCACCACCACCACCACCAAACCGUGACAAACAGAGCUGGGCGAGGUCCUGAAGAGAUGUGUCAUGCCUGUGCCUGAGGAAAAAGACUAUGGGCACCACAGCCCUGCACGAAGGCCUUGAGACCCAAACAAUGCUUCUCCAAGGACGUCUGCUCAGCCACCGCCUGUCCAACCUCUGACUGGCCUCACCCCAGCUGUUGGUAUUUGUAGCCAAGGAUAAUUUUCAAAACAACAUGAUUCUCCCCAUUUUCCCUUAGAAACCCUCCUCUUCCUUUCCCUACAGGAAUAUGCACGUAGUUUACAGAGGCCAAGCAUUCCCUUUGCAGCUUGCUAGUCCCAAAUAAACAGCUCUUCUUUUAGGGAGUCCCUCUCUGUCUGUUAGUUAGCUGGACAUGGUAAAUUAUGCUGAUUGACUUUAGAAAGCUGAAUCCUGGCCGGGCACAGUGGCUCACGCCUGUAAUCCCAGCACUUUGGGAGGCUGAGGUGGGUGGAUCACGAGGUCAGGGGUUUGAGACCAGCUUGGCCAAUAUGGUGAAACCCUGUCUCUACUAAAAAUACAAAAAUUAGCCGAGCGUGGUGGCGCGCACCUGUGAUCCCAGCUACUUGGCAGGCUGAGGCGGGAGAAUCACUUGAACCUGGGAGGCGGAGGCUGCUGGGUUGCAGUGAGCCAGAAUCGCACCACUGUACUCCAGCCUGGGUGACAGAGCAAGAUUCCAUCUCAAAAAAAAAAAAAAAAAAAAAGGGGCCAGGCACAGUGGCUCACACCUGUAAUCUCAGCACUUUGGGAGGCCGAGGUAGGCGGACACAAAGUCAGGAGAUUGAGACCAUCCUGGCUAACACGGUGAAACCCUGUUUCUACUAAAAAUACAAAAAAAUUAGCCGGGUGUGGUGGUUGGUGCCUGUAGUCCCAGCUACUCAAGACGCUGAGGCAGGAGAAUGGUGUGAACCCGGGAGGCGGAGCUUGCAGUGAGCCCAGAUCCUGCCACCGCACUCCAGCCUGGGUGACAGAGCGAGAAUCCAUCUCAAAAAAAAAAAAAAAAAGGAAAAAGAAAGCUGGAUCCCUUGCCUUCCUGGGAUAAACUCCCCUUGGUGUUGAUGUAUUAUCCUCUUUAUAUAUUGCACAAUUCGAUUUACUUUGCAUUUAUUUCAUUACAACUUUUGUGUCUAUGUGUUUAAAAAAAAUUAUUCUAUUUGCUUUUUUUUUUUUUUUUUUGAGACGAAGUCUCGCUUUAUUGCCUGGGCUGUAGUGCAAUGGCACGAUCUCGGAUCACUGCAACCUCCGCCUCCCAGGUUCAAGUGACUCUCUUGUCUCAGCCUCCCAAGUAGCUGGGAUUACAGGUGCACCCCACCACCCGACUAAUUUUUGUAUUUUUAGUAGAGACGGGUUUUCACCAUGCUGACCAAGAUGGUCUCAAACUCCUGACCUCAAGAAAUCCGCCCUCCUUGGCCUCCCAAAGUGCUGGGAUCACGGGCGUGGGCCACCACGCCCGGCCUCUAUUUGCUUUUCAGGCAAGUGUUCUAGAAACUAUUUUGUGUCCAUGUCUGUGAGGAAAGUUGGCCUGUAAUUUCCUUUUCCCAUGAUAUCUCUUCUGGUUUUGAGCUUGUGGUAAUGGUGGCCUCGAAACUUGUAUUUCUGGGAAGAGUCUGUGUAGAAUGGAUAUUAUUUGUUCCCUAAAUGUUUGGUUGCAUUCACCAGGGAAGACAUCUGGGCCAGGAAUUGUCUUUGUGGGAAGGUUUUAGUUGUAUAUGGAAUUUCUUUACUAGAUCUAGGGCCAUUUUGGUGAUGAAACUUCUUCUGCCAGAUCCAACAAUUAGU